rnacentral:lncRNA from 1 species
AGGGAUCCGAGGAGUGCCGACCAGAGAGGCAGUUCAUGUAGCCUCAUUAGUAAAGCCCCCAGGGGCUGUGACUGUCCUGCGCGGGCUUCCAAGUCCACCUGAGAGUUCUGAUGCUGUGCUGACCCCAUGGCACAUCAGGGGCAGCGAGCCUGCUGUCCACACUGGCUGGGAGAAGCAGCAGCCAGGCAAGAGAACAACAAACAGGGUCAGGCAGCCACCCACCAAGAGGACAUGUGGAACCAGGCAGCACGCCAUUUGGAAAGCAAGUCUAUAUGGGAGUGGUCAUUAUCAUGGAAAGGAAAAAGAAUGGGAAAACACGAGAUUUAAGAAGGACCCAAUGCUGUUCUAGAAGCAUCUUCAGAAAGAGCAAUAAAGCUUCUUUGAGGAAGUCACAGGACACAGACUCUCCAGGGUGGAAGGGAUCUUGAAGAGCACAGAGGCCAAGUCCUCAUCCAUCUCUCGACUUCCUUCAUGACUCAUCUGAAGGCGGCUGGAUUGGUCUAUGUCUGUACCCUACCCUCACCCCACAGUCCCAGUCCACCCUAUCUCAGAACAAUUUCAAAUGCAGGGGAGGAUCAGAGAUGAAGAUGUUACUCCAACAGUAUACAUGCAAAGAUGUUCUGGAAGUGCUACUUCUUAACUUGUCUGGUCUUAUAGUCUGUGGUUGAAUUUCUGCAUUACUAGUUUCCACAAGAGUUCAGCAACAAGAUUUCAAGGACUUUUCUUUUUAACGAUCUGAAAAUAAUGAAGAAUGACUCAUCAUACUAUAGGUGCCCUGUAUAUGCUUCAAAAUAAGUGUGUUUUUUGCUCAGUUCUUGUGCCUUCUCGGACCCUCAUGACAACAAUAGGAAUAAACCUACGUAGAAAGUCUAUCUCAGUAGUAAUGAUUGGGGCAACCGAAUGGACUCGACUGACUCAUAUUUCCCACACAUCUUUAAAUUUAUAGCUGGCCUCUGACUAUUUUAGAAAGCCUAUGAUUUGAACUUCAUCCAAGUUUUAACAGCAAUAAAAUUCCACAGGAAAUGGGUUCUUUAGAAUCCAAGAAAUGCACACUUAGGGUAUUGCCUACAAUCAAAUUAUUCUGCUGUUGGAGUUGUGUUGCUGGAGAGAAGACGAUCCCUUCUUCCCAGAAGAGGCCAUGUUUUCCCAUAUCACAACAUGCAUAGAAUUGGCACUGGUCAACACUAAACCUUCUACAAGCAUGAUGAGGACAACUUCUGAGCAGCAUCAUCAAGCUUGCCUCUCCUGGGCCACUACAACACCUGCCUCCCACCUUGACAAGCCCUGCGUCAGGCAGGCAUCAUCCCAAUUUGGCCUUGCAAGUUGUUACACGAACAUCCUUCAAGAGUGACGCCUGAAACAAUCAGUUGCCUUUUUGUCUCGCAAAAAGCCUUUGCUCUCCUCUCAGCUUAGAAUGUCCAUCCAUCACAGUUAGCAGGGCUGGGCCAGCACGGACCUCCAGAAUGUGCGAUGAGCUUUGUAGGCAAUUACCACUUUCUCCAAGGGCUCUGUAGGAUGAGGGUGAAGUGAAUGUCAUUGGAACGGUAGCAUUGUGGUCUAAAAGCUGCAUUCUGCCACAGAUCAACACGAUGAAAUGCUUAAUUUAGCCUACAAUUAUUUAUCUGUAUCACCGGCCAUGCCUCAACCACAUACUCCUCAAUAUGUAAACAACAAUAGAUUUAUCUGUUUUAUUUCUGAGAAGAUAAGAUAACCUGAGAAUUGCUUUAUAGAAUUUGUAGAAUGGACCCUCUCCUUGAGGCUGGUGGCUUCCCUUUCUGAAGCCAGGAUGAUUUUAUGACUCACUGGCAGAAGCAAAAUGACUCUGAGAUGCUUUCUUGGUGUGGGAGGAAUUGAGGCAGGGGGCAGGUGCCAAAAAUUUUGCAUAACCAAAAUGAACGAAAACAAAAUCCACAUGUAGGAAUGAAGGUAUUAAUCAGGAGGUAUUAGUCUUCAUGUAUUAGUGAGAAUUUUUAAUCCUUGUAACUCAGUUUGUCCUAGAAGAGCAAGUGGACAAUGGGCAUGGGUUUGUGGGCUUUAAUGAAGAUGUGAAGGUUAGUGUUUUGGUCCAUUUAGUGUUGCUAUAAAGGAAUACCUGAGGCUGGGGAAUUUAUAAAGAAAAGAGGUUUGUUUAGCUCAUGGUUUG